CACGUAGGGGGCAAGCGUUGUUCGGAAUUAUUGGGCGUAAAGGGCAUGUAGGCGGUUUGGUAAGCCUGAUGUGAAAUCCUGCAGCUUAACUGUAGAACUGCAUUGGGUACUGCCGAACUUGAAUCACUGAGGGGAAACUAGAAUUCCAGGUGUAGGGGUGGAAUCUGUAGAUAUCUGGAAGAAUACCGGUGGCGAAGGCGGGUUUCUAGCAGAUGAUUGACGCUGAGGUGCGAAAGUGCGGGGAGCGAACCGG
rnacentral:rRNA from 1 species